rnacentral:rRNA from 1 species
GGGGGGGGGGGGGGGGGGGGGGGGGGGGGGGAGGGGGGGGGCUGGGGGGGGGGGCUGGCUCUGCUUGGGUGGGUUGCGAACGGGUGAGUAACGCGUAGGUAACCUGCCUGGUAGCGGGGGAUAACUAUUGGAAACGAUAGCUAAUACCGCAUAAAAUUGAUUAUUGCAUGAUAAUUAAUUGAAAGAUGCAACUGCAUCACUACCAGAUGGACCUGCGUUGUAUUAGCUAGUUGGUGAGGUAACGGCUCGCCAAGGCGACGAUACAUGGCCGACCUGAGAGGGUGAUCGGCCACACUGGGACUGAGACACGGCCCAGACUCCUACGGGAGGCAGCAGUAGGGAAUCUUCGGCAAUGGGGGGAACCCUGACCGAGCAACGCCGCGUGAGUGAAGGAGGUUUUCGGAUCGUAAAGCUCUGUUGUAAGAGAAGAACGGGUGUGAGAGUGGAAAGUUCACACUGUGACGGUAUCUUACCAGAAAGGGACGGCUAACUACGUG